rfam:Brenneria sp. EniD312 chromosome, whole genome shotgun sequence.
CUUUAACAAUCUGGAACAAGCUGAAAAUUGAAACGACGCAGCUGAACAUUAUCCGCGAGGGUAAUGAUUUUGUUGUGUCAGAGUCUCUCAAAAAUUGCAAUCCGAGACACUUUCGG